CACUGGAGGUCCGAACCCACACCUGUUGAAAAAGGUCGGGAUGAGUUGUGCCUAGGGGUGAAAGGCCAAUCAAACUCGGAGAUAGCUGGUUCUCUGCGAAAUCUAUUUAGGUAGAGCGUCAUCCGAAUACCCCGGGGGGUAGAGCACUGGAUGGGUAAUGGGGCCCCACAGGCUUACUGAUCCUAACCAAACUCCGAAUACCCGGGAGUACUAGAUGGCAGACACACUGCGGAUGCUAACGUCCGUAGUGGAGAGGGAAACAACCCUGACCUCCGGCUAAGGCCCCUAAUUCAUGGCUAAGUGGGAAAGCAGGUGGGAUGUCCAAAACAACCAGGAGGUUGGCUUAGAAGCAGCCAUCCUUUAAAGAAAGCGUAAUAGCUC
rnacentral:rRNA from 13 species